GUAUUGAAGGUGAUGCCUGCCCGGUGACGUGGUGUUCAACGGCCGCGGUAUCCUGACCGUGCGAAGGUAGCGCAAUCAAUUGUCCCGUAAAUCGGGACUAGUAUGAAUGGCUAAACGAGGUUCUAACUGUCUCUUACAGGCGAUCGGUGAAAUUGAUCUCCCUGUGCAAAAGCAGGGAUAAACCCAUAAGACGAGAAGACCCUGUGGAACUUCAAAAACAGCAGCCACCCCUAAAUACAUACACACCCAACCCGGGCGCACUUACUUCACGGGCCAUUGGCUUGCAUUUUUUCGGUUGGGGCGACCUUGGAGCAAAACAAAACCUCCAAAAACUGGACCACACAUCUAGACCAAGAGCAACUUCUCGACGUGCGAACAGCAACCAGACCCAAUACAAUUGAUCAAUGGACCAAGCUACCCCAGGGAUAACAGCGCAAUCUCCUUCGAGAGUCCAUAUCGACAAGGAGGUUUACGACCUCGAUGUUGGAUCAGGACAUCCUAGUGGUGCAGCAGCUACUAAGGGUUCGU
rnacentral:rRNA from 1 species